AUUGAACGCUGGCGGCAUGCUUUACACAUGCAAGUCGAACGGCAGCGCGGGGGCAACCCUGGCGGCGAGUGGCGAACGGGUGAGUAAUAUAUCGGAACGUACCCAGAAGUGGGGGAUAACGUAGCGAAAGUUACGCUAAUACCGCAUACGAUCUACGGAUGAAAGUGGGGGACCUUCGGGCCUCAUGCUUUUGGAGCGGCCGAUAUCUGAUUAGCUAGUUGGUGAGGUAAAGGCUCACCAAGGCGACGAUCAGUAGCUGGUCUGAGAGGACGACCAGCCACACUGGAACUGAGACACGGUCCAGACUCCUACGGGAGGCAGCAGUGGGGGAAUUUUGGACAAUGGGGGGCAACCCUGAUCCAGCAAUGCCGCGUGAGUGAAGAAGGCCUCGGUUGUAAGACUCUUUGUUCUAGGGAAGAAACGGUAGAGAG
rnacentral:rRNA from 1 species